GAUGAACGCUGGCGGCGUGCCUAAUACAUGCAAGUCGAGCGAACGGACGAGAAGCUUGCUUCUCUGAUGUUAGCGGCGGACGGGUGAGUAACACGUGGAUAACCUACCUAUAAGACUGGGAUAACUUCGGGAAACCGUAGCUAAUACCGGAUAAUAUUUUGAACCGCAUGGUUCAAAAGUGAAAGACGGUCUUGCUGUCACUUAUAGAUGGAUCCGCGCUGCAUUAGCUAGUUGGUAAGGUAACGGCUUACCAAGGCAACGAUGCAUAGCCGACCUGAGAGGGUGAUCGGCCACACUGGAACUGAGACACGGUCCAGACUCCUACGGGAGGCAGCAGUACGGAAUCUUCCGCAAUGGGCGAAAGCCUGACGGAGCAACGCCGCGUGAGUGAUGAAGGUCUUCGGAUCGUAAAACUCUGUUAUUAGGGAAGAACAUAUGUGUAAGUAACUGUGCACAUCUUGACGGUACCUAAUCAGAAAGCCACGGCUAACUACGUG
rnacentral:rRNA from 1 species